rnacentral:rRNA from 1 species
GACGAACGCUGGCGGUGUGCUUAACACAUGCAAGUCGAACGGUAAGGCCCUUUCGGGGGCACACGAGUGGCGAACGGGUGAGUAACACGUGAGUAACCUGCCCUCAUCUCUGGGAUAACAGUCGGAAACGGUUGCUAAUACUGGAUAUGAGCCUGCAAGGCAUCUUGUGGGUUGGAAAGAUUUUUUGGUUGGGGAUGGACUCGCGGCCUAUCAGCUUGUUGGUGAGGUAGUGGCUCACCAAGGCUUCGACGGGUAGCCGGCCUGAGAGGGCGACCGGCCACAUUGGGACUGAGAUACGGCCCAAACUCCUACGGGAGGCAGCAGUGGGGAAUAUUGCACAAUGGACGGAAGUCUGAUGCAGCAACGCCGCGUGCGGGAUGACGGCCUUCGGGUUGUAAACCGCUUUCAAUUGUGACGAAGCUUUUUGUGACGGUAGCAGUAGAAGAAGCACCGGCUAACUACGUG